rnacentral:rRNA from 1 species
AUUGAACGCUGGCGGAAGGCCUAACACAUGCAAGUCGAACGAGUGGCGGACGGGUGAGUAAUGUCUGGGAAACUGCCCGAUGGAGGGGGAUAACUACUGGAAACGGUAGCUAAUACCGCGUACCAUCGGAUGUGCCCAGAUGGGAUUAGCUUGUAGGGGAGGUAACGGCUCACCUAGGCGACGAUCCCUAGCUGGUCGGAGAGGAUGACCAGCCACAAGGGAACUGAGACACGUGCUAGGCUCCUACGGUGGGCAGCAGUUGGGAAGAGUGCACAAUGGUCUCUAGACGGAUGAAGCCAGGCCGCGUGUAUGUAGAAGGCCUUAGUGUUGUAAAGUACUUUCAGCGGGGAGGCGUUACCCGCAGAAGAAGCACCGGCUAACUCCGUGCCAGCAGCCGCGGUAAUAC